rnacentral:lncRNA from 1 species
ACCAAAGUAUAACAGUUCGAUCCAAACCAAAUUAAAAAGGCCCAAACAAGCCUAAGGCGGUUCAACUCAAAUCAAAUAUAAAGGGUGCAAAUCAAUUCAACCUGAACCGAAUUGGAAUGAUCCGAAUUAAAUAAACCAGCUUCGCCCGAACCAAAAUAGAUCAAUAGUUCAAACCGAGCUAAGUUCAACUUAAUCAGCUAAGUCAACUUGAUUGGCUCACAAGCCAAAAUCAAAUGAGCGUCAAGUCGUUAAACUGAACAAUUGACAGUCGUUAAACUAAACGAACCAAAAUCAAAUUCUACUCAAUUUGACGCCAAGUCGUUAAACUGCGCAAAUCAAAUGAACUCAACUCAAUUGGACCGCCAAGUCAUUAAAUUGAGCAAAUUAAUCUCAAUUUGACCACUAAGUCACUAAACUGAGCAAAUCAAACCAAAUUCAUUCUUGACCGUCAAAUCGUUAAACUGAACAAAUCAAUUUCGAUCGACUACCGUGUCAGUAAACUAAGCAACCUGAUGUCGAUUGACCUACCAUGUCUAUAAAUUGAGCAUUUUAGUUUCACAAAAUUCAUGUACAGUGAGGGUAUCCCUUUGCUUAAGCCAUGUACAUAGCGGAUUAUAUUAAUAAAAUUUUAUCUUUAUGCUUCGGUCUUUCUCAGCAUUAACGUUCACUCUUAAUCAAGUCCCUUAACACUGAAAGUGUGAAGUAAUUAACAGUAUAUUCUUGAGUCUGUUGGAAGUUAUGAAUCUACAAUUUUGAUUUCAAAACAAGGUUUAAAUAAAUUUGAUCUGUACCAUGAAUGACCAUUUGCGAGAGAAAUAUCCAUG